rnacentral:lncRNA from 1 species
UGGAGGCCGUCUGUGGUGGCGCGGGCGAGGUGGAGGCCCAGGACUCUGACCCUGCCCCUGCCUUCAGCAAGGCCCCCGGCAGCGCCGGCCACUACGAACUGCCGUGGUCUUUGCAAGGGAAGGAAAUGUGCCCAACAUCAUCAUUGCGGGCCCUCCAGGAACCGGCAAGACCACAAGCAUUCUGUGCUUGGCCCGGGCCCUGCUGGGCCCAGCACUCAAAGAUGCCAUGUUGGAACUCAAUGCUUCAAAUGACAGGGGCAUUGACGUUGUGAGGAAUAAAAUUAAAAUGUUUGCUCAACAAAAA